GGUGGCAACACUGCAGAAGAGAGAGACUGAUGAUUCACCAAAGUUCACAGACAGUAUGAAACUGAUGGGAAAAUGGAUACGCUGGAGGGGUAUGGUUCACACCUCUAGAGAGAAAAGUUCUGGGACUCAGUGGAGGCCAAGCCAAAGUCCCCCAUCACUGUUUCCAUCUCCUUCUCAAGAGAUCCACCAAGGAAAUGAUACCUUGCUUUUAAACUAGUCUAUUUGCUUAUUAUUCUUCCUCUUAAAAAUUCACCCAUCAGGCCGGAUGCGGUGGCUCAUGCCUGUAAUCCCAGCACUUUGGGAGGCCGAGAUGGGCAGAUCACGAGGUCAGGAGAUAGAGACCACCCUGGCUAACAUGGUGAAACCCCAUCUCUACUAAAAAUAGAAAAAACAUUAGCCGGGCGUGGUGGUGGGCGCCUGUAGUCCCAGCUACUCAGCAGGCUGAGGCAGGAGAAUGGCUUGAACCCGGGAGGCAGAGCUUGCAGUGAGCCAAGAUCGCACUACUGCACUCUAGCCUGGGUGACUGAGAGAGAAUCCAUCUCGAAAAAUAAAAAAAUAAAAAUAAAUUUUAAAAAAAAUUCACCAAUCAGCAGAAGUGUCUGACAUAGCAGUAAGCAACAACAUGUUAUUUGGUUGACAGCCAAAUUAUCUUAAACCAUAAUCACUCUUUCAACACUGUUCCUUUGAGCAUGACAGAUCCAUGAGGAUUGUUCUGAACACUGAGUGCCUUACCUUGCACAUCAGAGCCCCCAAAACCUCACCCUUCUUUCAGUCUCCGGUGCAAUACACAAAUGCCUUAGAACUUCUCACAGCCCUAUGCACUCUAGUUUCUGUUUACCAGGCACAUGGGCCAAUACCCUUGUUUCGAAAACAGGAAGAGUAUUGCUGUGAAUGAGAAGUCAGUGGGGACUUUGGAAGGAAACUAAUGGUGUGUAGAAGCUGUUGCAUAGGAGGGACAUGGGGCCAAGAGCUGAGGCAGACUGGCCAGAUUUCAGAAGGUCACUUUGGUUUAGGAAGUGAGGCUUUGUGGGAGGUAGGGAAGGGGCGCAUAUGCGUAGCAAGAGAUGUCAGCCCUGCCUGAUUUCACAGUGGUGAUUACUGAGUGAUUUCUGGAUUAGCCUUUCACACUUGAGGGUUCACUGAGCACUGGCCACUUCCUCCUCUUUUCCAUUCUUGUUUUCUUUGCUUUUGAAACUGUCCACCCUCCCUCCUCUUCCCCCACUCAGGAGAAGAUUUAUAUGAAGGCUUUUUUUUUGGUUGGCAAAGAACAGCUUCUCGCAAAGUGCAUGGCACAGUAAGGCAGCGUCUUUAGACUUCCAAAUAAGCCUGAAGAGGACAGGAGAGCGAGCAAUGUCUCCCUGAAUGGGACUACAGGGGACGCUGGUAACCGCACCUCAUUCAGCAACUUGAGAAACAUCAGCAAUAAUACUACAAGCAAUCGCUUAGGUACUUGACUGUGAGCAGGAAUAUGAGACAAGUGGAACACACUGGCUCUCAUUUUUUAAAGAUGAUUUCACCUUAAGAGGCCGUGGAACCCCAAAGUCAACCCCCAAGCAUCCCCAGAAGAAAAGUACACUUUGAAUAAUUACAGUCCUUUAACUUUCCUGAUUCAACCUUCAAAGGCCACGAAUUGCUUCUAACGAAGAAGCUGAAGUGAAAGAAGAAGGAACGUCAACAAAAAUGUCUGUUUGUGUUAUCUCUUUACUUUCACGGUUUAUAGGUUUGGGGGAAAGUUUUUAUUUUCGGUGGAAUAGAAGAAGGGAAGAAGAGAGACUAAAAAGCAUUUCUUAGAUUUCCAGAAGCAGUAAUGGAAAAUCCCGACCCUAGAGUCUUGCUUUCUUCCUAGAAAUAGAAUGCUCCUGAAGUUCCCAGGAGAGCCCUUGGCAGACAGAUGUCAAUCAUUCCAUCCCUUGUUUUGCUGGGUGGAGUCACUGGAGCUUAAAGAAGGGGAAGUAAACUCAAGCACACAUCCUGGUGACCUCUAGCCACGGGUCAAAUUUCACUGAUGUCAAUUAAAAAUGACCAAAGACCCGCCCCUGUGAAAACCGUGUGGGCAGCCAUUUUGUCUCAGGGAAACUGCCCAGAUCUGAUGUACAGUAUUUCCGGACGUCUCUUCGUUGUAUAUGGCAUUUCCCUGAAAUAAGCAACUCUCUGAAAAAUAUCAUAGCGCAGAUCAAAAUGAAGUACUCUGUGGUGAAGUAGAAGUACACAGUCAACAAAGAAACUUGCCCUCAGGCUGCACAGUAAAACGUUGGAAAUCCCAGAGCAGCAACUUGGAAAUCCCACCUGCUGCAUAUUUGCCUGAGUACUUUAAGGUUCUAUGGACAAUUGUCUCUCUGCGUAGAUUAACCUUAAAUAAACUUGUUGCGUUUUGAGAUGGUA